GUAUCCUGUCUGAAUAUGGGGGGACCAUCCUCCAAGGCUAAAUACUCCUGACUGACCGAUAGUGAACCAGUACCGUGAGGGAAAGGCGAAAAGAACCCCGGCGAGGGGAGUGAAAAAGAACCUGAAACCGUGUACGUACAAGCAGUGGGAGCCUCUUUAUGGGGUGACUGCGUACCUUUUGUAUAAUGGGUCAGCGACUUAUAUUCUGUAGCAAGGUUAACCGAAUAGGGGAGCCGAAGGGAAACCGAGUCUUAACUGGGCGUUAAGUUGCAGGGUAUAGACCCGAAACCCGGUGAUCUAGCCAUGGGCAGGUUGAAGGUUGGGUAACACUAACUGGAGGACCGAACCGACUAAUGUUGAAAAAUUAGCGGAUGACUUGUGGCUGGGGGUGAAAGGCCAAUCAAACCGGGAGAUAGCUGGUUCUCCCCGAAAGCUAUUUAGGUAGCGCCUCGUGAAUUCAUCUCCGGGGGUAGAGCACUGUUUCGGCAAGGGGGUCAUCCCGACUUACCAACCCGAUGCAAACUGCGAAUACCGGAGAAUGUUAUCACGGGAGACACACGGCGGGUGCUAACGUCCGUCGUGAAGAGGGAAACAACCCAGACCGCCAGCUAAGGUCCCAAAGUCAUGGUUAAGUGGGAAACGAUGUGGGAAGGCCCAGACAGCCAGGAUGUUGGCUUAGAAGCAGCCAUCAUUUAAAGAAAGCGUAAUAGCUCACUGGUCGAGUCGGCCUGCGCGGAAGAUGUAACGGGGCUAAACCAUGCACCGAAGCUGCGGCAGCGACACUAUGUGUUGUUGGGUAGGGGAGCGUUCUGUAAGCCUGUGAAGGUGUGCUGUGAGGUAUGCUGGAGG
rnacentral:rRNA from 1 species